rnacentral:rRNA from 1 species
UACAGGGGGGUGCAAACGUUGCUCGGAAUCAUUGGGCGUAAAGCGCACGUAGGCGGUUCGUUAUGUCGGAUGUGAAAGCCCUUGGCUUAACCGAGGAAGUGCAUCCGAAACUGGCGAGCUAGAGUACGAAAGAGGAUCGCGGAAUUCCCGGUGUAGAGGUGAAAUUCGUAGAUAUCGGGAGGAACACCGGUGGCGAAGGCGGCGAUCUGGGUCGAUACUGACGCUGAGGCACGAAAGCGUGGGGAGCAAACAGGG